rnacentral:lncRNA from 1 species
AGGAAGGAGAGAUCAUGGCGGACGGGAGGCAAGACUAGCCUGCAGCUCUGGACAGAGCAGCGAGUGGGAGCUCGCAUUGUAAACUUUAGCUCCAGAUGGACGGCAAAAACAAACCAGCAAUCCCCAGAGGACCCACAGACCCUCUGAAGGAAGUGGGCUGCUCCUGCAGGACCCGGGAGACCCCCAAAACUGUGAGUGUCCAGCUGCCGAAGUGGGAAAGGGAAACCCUCCUCUCCGGAACAGACACCCCCUGAGAAGUCUAUUUGUGGGAGAAGUUUCCGACUUUACCUGGAGCUGAGUCAGUCUGGAGAGCUGACUGAAAUACAGGGAUAGAGGAGGCAGCAGCAAGGCCCUGGGAGCUGAAUGGGUCCCCGGGCAGCCCAUUCCUGCCUGGCACCACAGGGAUCCAACGGGAGAGGAACAGAGGGUAAAACUACACGGAGAGAAGGAAAUCUCUAGCUGAACUUUGUAACAAUUCGAACAGCGUGAGAAGUCUCCUGGCCAGAACUCGGGGGAGGACACAAAUCUCCUGCACAGUUAAUAUCCAGAGUCACACGUGGAGAGGAAGCAUCACAAUGAGACCAUACAACCAUAUAAUCUGUUCAAGUCCUAGAAGGUGUUGGCAGAGCUGCAGGACUGACCUAGGUCAAUGGCUGUGGGACCACAGGGAAGAAAAGACACCAGAUGUUUCCGAUCAAGAGACAAGAGAAACAUUCAGCGUGACCCUAGAAAAUCUUUCUAAAGAGAUUUCACAACACUCAGCUCAUGUUUCGGGUCCAUGAAACCAUCUUUAGAUGAAUGAUGCCUUGUUACCUGUGAGAGGAAGUGAGCAGCGAGGAGUCCUGUCAGUUCCGGAAGGAGUAUUUGGGUUACUGUUCUUCAUUGUCUGCAGUUCUGUCUUGCUCAGUCGCCCAGGCUGAAGUGCAGUGGUGUGAUCAUAGCUCACUGCAGCCUCAACUUCCUGGAGUCAAGCAAGCCUCCCACAUCAGCCUCCUGAGUAGAUUGGAGACCUGUUGUGUGUUACCUUUGGAAGGUUUUCCACAGUUGAGAUCCAGUUGCUCCAGCAUCAUUUGUUGAGUGGUCUCUCUUCAUCCACAGAGCUCCAGAGUGUCUCCUCUUACAGGACUUCUACACGUUGGGCACAAAUUUCAGCAUGGCGUUAAGAAGAACUGUGAGUGGGCAUUCUUGCCUUAUUUCUACUUUCAGAGGAAGAUAUUUUGUUGUUCCCUGUUGAUAUUUGCAUUCAGAUGUUUUGUGAGUCCUUCUUAGUAUAUGAAGGGUAUUAUAUUCCAUUCAUUAUUUCAUUCAGUUCAAAAAAUUUUCUACAUUUGACCAUAUAUUUGUGAUAAAAAGAAUGUUUAGCAGUGUAUUUCAAAAACAUAUUUCAAAACAUAUGGGAAUUUUCCAAAUUUUUCUGGCUAUUCAUUUUCUAACUUAAUUGCUGAUAAUUAAGAAAGUAAAUUAUUAUCUUGUCUGAGUUAAGCAUUGUAUGAAUGCCAGUAAAAAGAGAAGUAGAGAAAAUCAUGCAAGAUAAAUUGGGUAUAUAGGUUCCUAAAAUGUGAUACCUGAGCUAGAGUGGAAGAAGCUGCAGCUUUAGAACCAGUUUAGAUUCUUGGUUUGUUUUCAUCUUUCCUUGACUCUGGGCCACUUCUGUAUCACCAACGUUUACAAUGAUUGAAUGUCACUCUAGGUUCAUUUACUUCUUAUUCUAAAGCCAAAUAUUUAGGUCCAUUAGAGGCCAACAUUAUUAUUAAGAGCUCUUUAGCACCCAAUGACAUUUUUCUUUCAAAAAGUCAAUAUUUUAUAGAAUCUAAAUUAAGUGGGAAAAGAGAUUUAAGAUUCGCUAUGAAUACAUUCUAAUUAUUUUUACAACAUUUUAUAACAAGAUUAAACUUUUGGUGAGUUCUGCUAAACUAUGAUAACUACAAAUCUGGAAACCUUUUUCUCCCCCCCAAAAUAAUUUUAUCUUUUAGGUUCUUUCUUCUUUUUUGUUCCUCUGUUUUUGCUGAUACAUUGAGAGUAGAUUUUAGCAAUUUUAAAGUAAGAGGGCUAUUCUCGUCAGUACAAGUUCUCCCAGGAAAAAUUUUUUAAAAAUCAGACAUACUUACCAAUCUGCGAAUAAACUUAAUAGUGAUAUAAAGGUAAAGUCAUGGGAGGAUUAAAAUCUGGAUUAAAAUCAAGAUACGGAAUUCUAUGAAAAUAAAUAUGAUUUCUGAUAUCUUUUUAAAGGUGCUGAACAGCUGAGUACACUCUAUUUUCAAAGAAUAAUGUUUUCCCUGGGUCCCCGGUCAGCUAUGAUUUCCCAGGAUGAUAUAAUGUUUCUUGCACUGGAAAAAUACAUAUUAUUUUUAGGUUAAAAGUUAUAAAAAGUGUUUUAUUCCCUGUGGCUAUCCCUCCUCCUCAAGCUACUAGGAAAAUGGUGAAAACAGAAAAAUCAAAACAAGAAUACCAACGGAUACGUUUUCUAAAACUUAACAUGCAUGUCUUUGAGAAUUCAAUUUUGUUAGCCACAUUUCAGAUAUAUAACCUUUUUCCUUUAAUAAUCUAUGAUUUAAAUGCUCAAAUGUUUUUAAGCAUGUGGUGCUGGCUCCAAAUAACCCUCCAUCUUGAGAGAUGCGACCCUCCCCAGGUUUCUCCCUUCAUCACUACCAGCAUCCGUUCUCUCUCUGGACAAGCUCUCCCUGAGCAGAAGGCUUAAUUGUGAAAUGGAAUGCCCUGGAUAAUGAGAGAAAAAAGGGGAAAAGAAGUCCUUUAGAUAUCAGAGAGAGAGAAUGAUGAUAUAAGGGAUGUGGCAUAUUGAUUUAAAUAUUAGCAUAUUGAUUUAAAUUACCUUGAAGAUAUGUACAAGCUGUAAUUAAGAAUUAAACAUUAGUAGGUGUCAUUUUGAUCAUAAUUAAGGGGCCUCAGGUAGCACUGGCAGCUUGACUUCCACUUGGAAUUUCUUCUUCUAAGUAUUAGGCACGUGCUUCUCUCCGUCACGGUACCACCCAUCCAGCUUGCACUCCUCCUAGGAUCGCUGGAGAUUCGCCUCAUGUUGCAGACCUAACCUGCACUCUGGGUUGUCUUGUUAAUUUCUGAAGUACCCCUCCACAUACAUCUAUCUGUGUGACCGCAUGCCUGGUCUGAUCUUUAUACGGUCAGUAGGUGUUGAGUUUUACCACUCUAGGUUGUCUUGUUAAUUUCUGAAAUACCCCUCCACAUAGACGUAUCUGUGUGACCACGUCCCUGGUCUGAUCUUUAUAUAGUCAGUAGGUGUUGAGUGUUACUGAUUUUUGGUCCCCGAGCUGGGUACAUUCAGGAACACACAUAUGCCCAGGUUUAUGGGCCGUUAUUCACAAGGCUCUCUUAGGUUUUCUAAUGUGAACAUUGUGUAGUCUUGGCAAGACUCAAUAAAAACUCUCUAAAAGAAAAUGGCUAGAAACAAACAUGGUAUAAAUUGCAAUAUCAGAAGCCCUGUGCUGAAAUAAAGCAAGAGUUCAUGUAGCCUGUGUUCAGCUUCUGACCACAGCAUCCAGAGAGAGCCUGCAGUGGGAAUCAUGCUUCUACUGAGUUUUCAAAUUAUGAUCAUGGAACACACAUUCUCCUGGAUGCCAAAGUGACUCAUGUUUCAUGGAUCAGCCUAAAGGUCAGUUCCUCUACUAAACUACUUUGAAUCCAUAGUCCUACAGUUUAAAAAUCUGGAAGGCAAUUCCGAGGUCACCCAGAGUGAUAAGGUCAUUGCAAUAUUUAAAUCAUGAGUUGAAAGCACUUUGCACAAUGUAACAUGCUAUAAAAAAACAAAUAUUUGUAGGAAUUAUUAAGAACCUUCAUCAGCAUUCCUGUGGAGUCAUCGCUAGGAGACUUGUGGUCUCUGAAAAGAGGACUGUUUUUAUACACAAUCAAUGUUUCUGUGUUUUGAUAGACAGAAUCAAUAGCUACCAACUGUUCAGCUGGGCUCAAACCACCAAACAGCUGGCUCUAUAUUCAUAUCCUCGUGGUUCAAAAUACUUUUAACCCUAUGAUGUAUAAAUUCCUACUCUGCACAGUUUUUACACACCGACCAAUAUAUACACAUCACAGAGGACACAUUUAGUGCUGCACUUCCUGCUGUGACUGUUAAAAAAGACAAGGGGCUCCCUGCUUGGCAGCUGUGAUGGCCUAGGAGUCAAUUUCUCAGCAGCACCAUUCUGGAACAUAAAAUCUUACAUUUAAUUAUAUCUACUGCACAGUUUUCAGAGUGUAGCUUAAUAAACAGUCAUCUGCAAAGAUCUAGAACCAGAAAUACCAUUUGACCCAGCAAUCCCAUUACUGCAUAUAUACCCAAAGGAAUAUACAUCAUUUUAUUACAAAGAUACAUGCAUGCAUGUGUUCACUGCAUUACUAUUCCCAAUAGCAAAGACAUGGAAUCAACACAAGUGCCCAUCAAUGAUAGACUGGAUAAAGAAAGUAUGGUACAUAUACACUAUGAAAUACUAUGCAGCCAUAAAAAGGAACAUAGUCAUGUUCUUUGCAGGAACAUGGAUGGAGCUGGAAGCCAUUAUCCUCAGCAAACUAAUGCAGGCACAGAAAACCAAACACCACAUGUUCUCACUUAUAAGUGGGAGCCGGACAAUGAGAACACAUGGACACGGUGAGGGGAACAUCACACACUGGGGCCUGGGGAGCAUUGGAAAACAUAGCUGAUGUAUGCUGGACUUAAUACCUAGGUGAUGGCUUGAUAGGUGCAGCAAACCACCAUGGCACACAUUCACUUAUGUGACAAACAUGCACAUCCCGCACAUGUACCCCAGAACUUAAAAUAAAAAUAAAAAUUUUAAAGGAAUUAAGAAAGGAAAAAAGCAGUCAUCCUUUUUGUACAGCUGAAAUUCAUCCUCAAAAGUACUUGGAAUACAGCACUCAUAUUCUUAGUGCUUCCAAAAAUCUCCCAAGAUUAUCCCAUUGUUUUGGAAAAUAAUACAUUGUGUGUAUAUAAUGAAUCUAUACAAAGGGCAUCUAAGGGUGAUAUGAAAAGACUCAUCUUGUGUGAUAUGCAUAUGCUGAGAAUUGUGGGUCUAUGCAGAUCGCCCUGGUCAAUUUUACCUUAGAGUUUUGGGGAGGUUAAUUUUGCCUAGAAAUACAAGAUGGCUUCCCUUUUUUUUUUUUAUUUUUUAUUUUCAGAUCACUUUAUUUAGGGAUGCGGCAAUGGCAGUAGUUCUCAAAAGGAAGCCGGGUAGAAGCAAAUUAAUUUCUAAGGUAUUCUAGACUCAGAUGUAUUGCAGAUGCUAACCCACUCUCGCCAGUUGGCAUCGAUGUCCUAGUCAGACGGGGACCAGGGAGUCUUUGUCGGUGUCUGUGGGUUCCUGCUUCUCAGCACCAGCAUCAGGGGGAGACGAAGUGCUGAUUAGGAGAACACACAUUGGCAGGCGCACGUGACAACCCUGGUCGGUGCUCUAUCCGUCUGGGUUUGUCCAACAAUUUAGUUCCAUAAAGAAGAGAACACAAAAGUCCUGCCUGCUAGGGAGGAAAUCAUCACUGAACUAAGCAAGGGGUAAGAUUCUGACUCCGGUCUGAUAAUUGCUGGAACAGGUUGAGGACAACGAACAUGACGUAGGAUGUAUGAGGUGAGAAAGGGCACAGUGAGCCCCAGGUCCAGGACACUGGUAGGUGUGUGGGACCUGAGAUGCACGUUGACCUCAUGUUGUUCUGGUCAAGCAACAUUUAAAGAUGAAUGAGAAUCUAUGCAAGAAUAUAAAGAGUCCCCAGGAUGGAAACACCGAAAGAAGACAGGUUCUGGAAAAAAAGUGGAAAGUAGAGAAGAGGGGUGAGGUAUCCAUACGCGCCCUGUAGCAUGUCUGUGUGAUAGAGAGAUGCAGAGAACCAAGGAAUCAAUGGUGAUUAAGACCCUGAUUGCAACAGGUGCAUAUGCAACUAGGUAGAAGAAUUUUUAAAUUAUCUAAAUAAUUUAACUCCUCCCCCAAAAAUACUUCACUAAGCAUUUUUAAAACGCACAUGGACCCUACCUUUCAGAAGUCGCUUAUCCUAACCAAAAUUUUUCAGGAGGGUUUCCUAGUUAAUGGAUGUGCUGCUUGCCACUGAAACCUCCUAAACCAUGUAACUCAUUAUGUUUGCAGAAUUAUGUGAGGCAGAUGCCCAGUAAGACCAAGAAUGCAGAGAAAUCUAAUAGAAACGCGGGAAGCAAUCAUAAAAGUCUUUAAAGGCAGACUUGAGUACUGUCAGCCUUAUGCUACUUUCUUUGUGUAAGAUUGAGUUAUCUUAAACUGUGUCCAUGGGAAAUAAAGGAGAACAGAAGCCUGCUUUUUAAAGGCUUUGUGUUACGAAACUGCAUUUAGAGUUUAUUAGAAACAGGAAUAACUUAGGUAGCAAUGUCAAUCAGACGUUAAAAAUAUAUAUGUGGGGCCGGAGCUGGUGGCUCGUGCCUGUAAUCCCAGCACUUUGGGAGGCCGAGGCGGGCAGAUCAGUUGAGGUCAGGAGUUUGAGACCAGGCUGGCCAACAUGGUGAAACCCUGUCUCUACUACAAAUAUGAAAAAUUACCGGGCAUGGUUGCAUGCACCUGUAACUCCAUCUACUCGGGAGGCUGAGGCAGGAGAAUUGCUUGAACCCAGGAGAUGGAGGUUGCAGUGAGCUGAGAUCAUGCCACUGCAGUCCACUCUGGAAACAGAGCAAGACUCCUUCUCAAAAUACAUACACACACACACACACACACACACACACACACACACACAGAAUAUAGAAAAUGUAUAUACACAUAUAAUACAAGAUAUAGAUUAGGUAGUUUAAAAGAAAAAUUGCACUGUACAAGAUGAGCAAACAAAUUUUAUUUUAUAUAUUUAUUUUAUUCCUACACUUUUACCAGCAAUAGGGAAGCGCUCACAGACAGAUAUGGUCUGGAAAUCCAGCUUCCUUGAAACAAAAGAAUGGAGAGUUUCAAGAGCUGAGUGGGGGAAUCACAGGUCACCUGCAUUUGCUAAUUGCUUUCCCCAAAGUAAAGGUAGAUUUUCUCCUGUGUUUAUGACAGAAAGGUAGUUUUACAACUUGGACUCCAGCAGAGACUGGAAAGGGGCCCCUACCUUGAUGAUUGCAUUCCAGAAGGAUGGUGCCCAUAGCCUUGGAAAAGUCGCUCCGAGCUGUAAAACUGGCCAGAGACUGGACAAAGAUUUACAUCUCAAAGGACAGAGAAAGAAUUCAUCAUGAGCAGUGUUCUAAAGUAAAUGCUCUCCAUAAAGGGAGGUCAGAAAGAAAUCAUCUAACAUUGAGACUGGCUGAGGGACAGGUGGACACCAUCUUGGUCGGUAGCUAUCAACAGAGAAGGACCAGCUGAGGCUGGGGAAUAGAUACUGGUGAUGAUGAUGAUGAUCAUGAUUAUGAUAAUGGCACACAACUUUAUAAAGUCUUAAAAUUGAAAAAAAUAACACUCCAGUAAGUAUUUUCCCACUUAAAUGUUCCACAAUAAACAUGUGCCAUAGUAAUAGCAAAUGCGCAGCCCAGAAGCAGACUGGUGGGAGCUGGACCAUCCCGUGUCCUCUGGAUUCCGGUUCCGGGCUCUAUUGAGGUCAUUUUGCCUGCUAAGGUUGAAAAGAUGCAGUGUGGAAAUAUGUGAGGGUAUCCAAGACCGAAUCAUGAAAAAUAUGCACACCUUCAGCGCCCUAAAUAUACACGAUUACCCUCAGUGCCCAGCACGUCCAAAAUCCAACGCGUCAUUUCACCUUCUUGUCACUGACUAGUAUUUCUGUCAGUGGUGCUAGGAUUCUUUCAAAUUAAUCAUCACGCACCUUCAAAACAACUUAUCUGUCUCCUAAAGGAUCACCUCUCCUCUCUAAUUCUUUCUAUAUCCAGCUGCCAAAUGUAUCUUUCUAAGUGGUUCCUAUGUUGCCACUACUCCGCAUCAAAAAUUGAGUUACCAGCUGAAAUAAUGUGAUCAUCUUGGUCUUUUCAUGGCCAAAUUAAGCCAUUUACAUGUAUUUUUGAUAAGUGAUCUGCUUGGUUUCAUAAUAUCUAUUUCAGCUUUGUUUUCUAUAUGUUGCAGUUUUAUGCCAUUUUCUUAUUUUGACUCUUCACCUUCUUGUUUCUUCAUUACAUUUUGAAAUUGUUACAACGCUUUAAAAUUCUACUGAUUAUAUUUCCAUAAGGCAUUGAAGACACAUAAACUUCUGGGAUGUUUCAAAGGUACUGCAGAAGAUUUAAUCAGUUUUUGGCUAUUGCUAGAAUGUCCUCUAACCCUAAGUUUCUUCACUUUCUGAUAAAUGCUUGAUAUGGUUUUGCUGUGUCUCCACCCAAAUCUCAUCGUGAAUUGUAGCUCCCACAAUUCCUAUGUGUCAUGGGAGGGACCUGGUUGGAGAUAAUUGAAUCACGGGGGCAUUUUCCCCCCAUACUCUUCUCCUGGUAGUGAAUAAGUCUCACGAGAUCUGAGAGUUUUAUAAGGGGAAACCCUUUUCGCUUGGUUCUUAUUUUCUCUGCUGCCAUAUAAGAUGUAUCUUGUGCCGUUCCCCUUCCACCAUGAUGGUGAGGUCUCCCCAGCCACGUGGAACUGUGAGUCAGUGAAACCUCUUUUCCUUUAUCAGUUACCCAGUCUCGGGUAUGUCUUUAUCAGCAGCAUGAAAAUGGUCUAAUACAAUGCCUAUUUUAUAGUCGAUGCAUGGGCACACUGUUAGAGAACCCCAAAUUGCAAUAUUCUUUCUUACCAUUUUGUUAUUGUUGUUAUUGUUUUUAUUUUCUCUUACAGAUAUCUAAUUUGAUUUAACUGACAUUUAGGAUACUUCAAACCUUUUCUCAGGUUGGGUACAGGGAUGCGGAUAGUGCCUGGGAAGUGGUACGUCGACAAAAGUCUUUCUCUUACCAUGUAGCCUGAGUUCUCUAGGUUUUGAAGACAUUUCAUUUGCCUGAGUAGCUUAAAGACACUGAUGACUGUGCCAAGCCUCCAGGACUGUGGAGGAGAGGUGGUAUCAGUGUGACUCUCUUUUGUAUUCUGUCUACUUGUACAAUCUGGCAGCGCAUGUGAUUCUGACUCCAUCUUCAGGAUUUUUGGGUAUAUCAAUAUAUCCAGACUAUUUGUAAAAUUUAUUUCCUCUGCAAUUCACUGUCACUUUUUAAUUCAAAAACACAUUUUUCUUUAUCCACAAAAAAUAAUUUUUUACUGCUUGUUAAUUCUUGCAUCUCCAUCCAGUUUUACUCCUUUAGGGCAUUAUAAGAAUUAUUUUUCUUGGAUCUGCCUUCCAAUUCACAUAUAUUUUGUCUUAAUAUUUCUAUCUAAUUGUGUCUCUGAUUUUUAUACUGAUAGGUACUUUUCCCAUUUUUUAUUCAUGAUAUUAAUUGGUUUUGUGGCACAAGUUUUUAAAGUUUUAUUUUCUUCAACUCCUAUUUUGAUUCUUUUUUUCCCAACAUCCUACUUCUCUUUGCUUGUUUAUUUCUUUGGUCUUUUUGACAUUUAUCUUGGUCUCUAGAAGUCUCCCGCGAACACACAGAGGCCCAAGACUGCUUACACACUUCUAUUUAAAAGAGAGGCCUAGGAAGGUAAUUAAAGCUUGCGUGAAUAACCGAGUCUUAACAGCCAGUGUGUGUCAUUUAAGGGUAAUCAGGUGACAACCGCCAUCUGGCCGUUUCAUCGUGGGGUGGGGGGGGGCCCAAGCAUCAGCAUAAGUAUAUAUGUUCUCAGUGAUGGUUAAGUUUCAGCAAAAAAAUCUCAUCAACCUUCUGCUAGGGUGAAAGGUAUAUGACUGGUUGACAAUGUUCCGAGGCCCCAUUGGAAGGCGGAAACAAAGGAUUUUGUAGUUCAGGAUAUUAACUUUCAGCCCAUCAACCUGUUUUGAGUACCGUAUUGCAUGCCUGCACCCAACGCCCAGAGUCUGGGGUGUUCUGUUUUAAUUUCUCUUGACACCCCGGCUCCCUUAGGGGAGAAGGGGAUGUUGAGGGAGACUCACUGACCUGCUUCACAUUCCUUCAGUCAACUUUUGUGUUCUUACCUUCACUCCUUAUUUCCACCAUGAGAGUUUCACUAUGCUUUGAAUUACUGGGAUUUCCACAAUUAAGCAAUGCAAAUUAUUGAAUUAUUUUGUUUAUCUUAUUUCUCAUUUGUAAUAACUUGUUAUGUGAAUUUUCUUUGUCAUCAGUUAUCACAAAUACACCAACUUUAUUGUUAAAUAUUUUUUCAUCAUCAUUCAUAUUCUGGGGUCUCUUCUGUUUUCUUUAGGGUCUACUGUUCUUGGAUGAAUUAUACAUACGAGGCUUCAAUGGAUCUCAUACGUUACCCAUAGUUUUCCCAUUUCCUUCAUGGAAUUUCUAAGUGUACUAGUUAAAUUUGUUUUUCUCUUCAGUUCUUAAAGCCAUUUGGGCACUGCAGUUGUAUCUUACUGAGUUUGCCUUUGUUGUGUAAAAUAUCUUUUUUUUUUUUUCUCCCUCUUCAGUGUAAGCCACCUCUUCCAGAUGUCUUUCCUUCCUCUGUAGAUAGUCGGUUCUCCUUUGAGGAUGGAAACCACCCACGCAGCUUGCCAUUUUUAUUAACAUGAUUUUAUAAUUCCCUGUUUUCAAGAACAUAACUUUACUUGUGUUUCGCUUAGGAUCCUAGGAGAUGCUUGCACCAGAAGAUAAAGUUGCAACUAACUUUAUUGCUUACUCCAAAGACUCAUCCGUUCUUCAAUAGGAAAAUCAAAAGCCAGUUUAAAACAGUCUAAGACUUUCUGAACAAUUCGGCCUCAAAAUUCUUGGCAUUGUCUGGCCACAAAUUCUAAACAAUUAUAUCAUAAUCUUUCCCCAAAUUAACCAAUAUCCUGAAUUGAAAGAUGCACCAUAAGUCAGAUUUUUCAGUCUCAAUAAAUAUCCUGAAUUGUGUUUUACCUAAUGGUUCAGCACGGAUUCCCUGUGGGAGUACUGCUGGCCCUGGGUGCAUAAGCAGUGAACCUGGCUUUGUCUUUUCAGCGGGCUUUUUGGUGAUACUUUGCAGAACCAGCGUUGAAUAUCCUCAUGGAAUAGUCCCUUCUCUGCCGACUGAUAGUGUUUCGCUUUGUCAGCACCCUUGCUGGGGACCAAAUUGUGUCCUGCCGCAAGUCAUACGGUGAAGCCUGAAGCCCCAGGGUGACUGUAUUUGGAGACAAGGCCUUUAGGCAGGUAAUUAAGGUUAAAUGAUGCCAUAGGGUGUUGUCCAACAGACUUGGUGACUCCACAAAGGAAAUACACCAAAGGAAGGCCAGAUGAGGACACAGGGAGAAGUUGGCCAUUUGCAACCUAGAAGAAGGCAGAACCUGACCGUGUGGGCGCCCUAAUCUCAGACUUGCAGCUUCCAGAACUGCGAGAUAAUACAUCUGUGCUGUUUAAGUCACGGGGUCUGUGGUAGGGUGUUAUGGCAGCCACGGCUGUAAGACCACCCAUAUGGUGGGUGCGGUCGGUGCCCCUGGGGCAGUAGCCAACAGGUGGUUAAGAGUGAUGCUGCUUUUUUGCCCUCUUUUGGGAAGAAGGAAAUGAUUUGAGGGAAUGUUACCCUCUGCUAGUGAAUUGGGUUGAGGCACCACUACUUCCUGAUCAAUUGGCUUCAAGCAGCAUUUCUCCCUAUUUUUGUUGUUGUUGUUGAAACAGAGUCUCACUGUAUCACCCAGUCUGGAAUGCAAUGGCAUUGCAACCUCAGCCUCCCAGGUUCAUUGCAACCUCAACAACCUCAGCCUCCCAGGUUCAAGUGAUUCUCCUGCCUCAGCAUCCCUAGUAGCUGGAAUUACAGGCACACGCCAUGACACCCAGCUUUAUUUUGUAUUUUUAGUAGAGACGGGGUUUCACCUUGUUGACCAGGCUGGUCUCAAACUCCUGACCUCAAGUGAUCUGCUGGUCUUGGCUUCCCAAAGUGCUGGGAUUACAGGCGUGACCCACCACACCCAGCCCAUUUAUCCCUAUUUUUUUUAAUUUCAAGAGCAAUAUGUUGAGAUAUUGUCAUCGCCUUUCCUGCUGACCAAAGUCCUGGUUGGCACAGCAGAUGCAGGCUCCACCCAGUGCUUGGUAUUAAAUCAUCUUAAGCCUUAAAAAGAGACAGGUUUUCUCCCCUGACAUUAGCCCUUCAGUUUUUGCCUGGCAAGGAAAAAAUGAAGAAGUGCUGAUGACUUUUUUCUCUAGAAUUCCUGAAAAAGUAUGUAGUAUUACCCCAACUUUUCUGCAUAUUCUCUACACUUCUCUUCUUGAAUUUAUGAUUUCUCAUUUUCUUUCUUUCUUUCUUUCUUAUCUCUUUCUUUCUUUUUCUUUCUUUCCUUUUUUUUUUUUUUUUUACGGAGUCUUACUCUAUCAUCAAGGCUAGAGUGCAGUGGCAUGAUCUUGGCUCACUGCAACCUCCACUUCCCAGGUUCAAGCGAUUCUCCUGCCUCAGCCUCCUGAGUAGCUGGGAUUACAGGCACCUGCCACCACGCCUGGCUACUUUUUGUAUUUUUAGUAGAGACAGGGUUUCACCAUCUUGGCCAGGCUGGUCUCAAACUCCUGACUUCGUGAUCCACCCGCCUCGGCCUCCCAAAGUGCUGGGAUUACAGGCAUGAGCCACCACACCUGGCUAUGAUUUCUCAUUUUCUUUCCUGAGAAAUGCAUCCAUCCCAGACUUUGAUUUUUCAAAAUUUUGUGUAUUUUUUCAUUGCCCACCAAGUGAAAGUCAGCAUAGAUUAUUGAUUAACUGUAAAAAAUAAAAUAAUAUAUGUACUAGAAAUAACUUUAUGAGAAAAAGUAUGUAAUUUUGUUAUGGAGAUGUCUAUACCAGUCAUAUUUACUUUUCUCUGCCUCCUACUACUGUUGGUUGUUUAAUUUCCAUACACUUAAUUUUUAAACACUGGUGUAGAUCAUGCUGAUAUGGUUUGCUCUGUGUCCCCACCCAAAUCUCAUCUUGUAACUCCCAGAAUUCCCACAUGUUGUGGGAGGUAUCCUGUGGGAGGUGAUUGAAUCCUGGGGUUGGGUCUUUUCAGUGCUAUUCUCGAGAUAGUGAAUAAGUCUCACGAGAUCUGAUGGUUUUAAAAAUGGGAGUUUCUCUGCACAAGCUCUGUCCUUGCCUGCCACCAUCCACAUAAGAUGUGACUUGCUCCUCCUUGCCUUCUGCCAUGAUUGUGAGGCCUCCCCAGCCACGUAGACUGUGAGAUCUCCAUUCAGCCUUUUUCCUUUGUAAAUUGCCCAGUCUCGGGUAUGUCUUUAUCAGCAACGUGAAAACGGACUAAUACACAUGCCAUCCAUUUUUCCUUCUCUGGCAUAGUUUUUUUUUUUUCAGUUAUUUCAUCUGUAUAUAUUUCAGUAUUCAUCUCUAAAUAUAGUGAUUUUAAAAAACAUCAUUUUGCAAUAUGAAAAAGAUAAUUUCUUUGUAUCAUCAAGUACCCAACUGUGUUCAUAUUAAUUGUUCAUAUUAUGAACACAUAUUAACUGUGUUCAUAUUAAUUCUUUCAUGAAAAGACGUUCUAAAAUGUAAAGUUCAAUCUCUCGAAACUUUCCUUUUUGAUUGGUGCUUUCUUUGUCUGAUUAUUGAAAUCUUUCUAUACCGUAAGGGCAUGAAGAUAUUCUUCUCUAUUUUGUACUAGAACUAUUAUUAUUUGACCUUUACAUUUAGGUAUAUAAUGUGCUAGUAACUGAUGCUUAUGUAUUAUGUGUAAUUGGGGUCAAUAUUCAUUUUUUCUACUUAAUAUCCAAUUCACUCAGCAUCAUUUAUUGAAUAUAUCAACCUUUCCCUACUGAACUUCUGUGUACUCUUUAUCCUAAAUCACAUAAUUUUUUUCCCCAUAUACUUGUGGGUCUAUCUCUAAAAACAGAAUUUUGUUAUGUCUGGGAAACAGUCAAUGUCCCCAUGGGGCAGCCUUUCUUAUGGAACUGACAUUUUUAUCAGAGGCAGAUAGUCUUUCUUUUAUAAGCAGAAAAUAUUUUAUUGUCCUCAAAAUUGCUAAGAAUGAAUUAAUCCUCAUUUGCUAUUAAUUUCAAUGUACUGUUCCCACACCCAGUAAUAAUAAAUGUAUAAUUAUGUUUCCCUUGACCAUUGAUUUCAGUUGUGUUUUCUCACACCUGAAUUAUUUUAUUAGUUAUCUACUUCUGAGAAACAAGUUACACUAAAAUAUCUCAAUCUAAAUAUUUUAAAGUACUAGCUAUAUUGUUUGCUCGCUUUGCUUAUGGCCAGUAAUUUGGGUUUGAGAUUAGUUUGGCUAUUCUGCUGCAGUCCUUGGAAAACAGCUCACUGGAUGGCAGUAACCUCAAUUCUCCACCCAGACUGGGUGGUGUAAGGUGUCCACACUCGUGCCUGUGCUGCUUGGGACUGGCGCCCAGCUAGGGUUCUCUCCACAUCAUCUCUUAUCCUCCAGGAGGAUUACCUGGGCUUAUUCAAUGCGAACUCCCAGUGGAAACCCCAUUUCCGGCAAAAAAGCACAAUAGAAGCCAUUAGCCAUGAGACUGUAAAAUAAGAAAAAGAAAAAUAAUCGACAGAAGAAUAAAGGUGUUCCAGGGCAAGAAACUAAAACAUAUUUCUAAAACUGAGCUGCAGAUAGAAUUCCUGGUUUCCUGGUAGUUAAAGAAAGAGACAAAGUGUAAGGAGUUACACAGUUAUUGUCAUUAGCUAAAAGAAAUUUCAUAUUUGUGGCCUAAUAGGCAUGGAAAUAAAAUGCUAGAAGGAGCAGGGCAUGAUGGUGCACACCUGUAGUCCCAGCUACUCAGGAGGCUGAGGCGGGAGAGUGGCUUGAGCCCAGGAGUUUGAGGCCAUAGUGAGCUAUGAUUGCACCACUGCACUCCAGCCUGGGCAACACAGUAAAACUCUGGGAAAUGAAGAGACAAAAAAAAAAAAAAAAAUGGCAUGGAAGAAAUGUCAGAUGGAAUAACCACAAAGUAAUGAAUAUUCCCCAAAUAAUGAAUGUCAUGAAACCAAAAAGUUAACUUACUUCCCAAAUGGUACAUUGUGUGGAAGCUAUUCACUGCACACUAAAACAAUAGUAAAAGCAAUAUACCUCUGAAUUGUUACAUAAAACAUACAGUUCUAAAUGGGUGUGUUUAUUUUUAUACACAAACAUGAAUAUAAUGUAUGUAGAAAAUGUGUGGUAUAUAGAAGAUUAAGAUAUGUUAGGACUCUAGCUCCUUCAGGAACUCACUUCUAUAUAGUGCCUUUUAAAUUAUUGUCACACCUCCUUUAACUAUAGAUAUAGUAAUAGCAAUCUUCAGUGAUCCACAAUGGGUUAUAUAAAUCUCCCACUUCAAAACCUUAAUACAGAAUUAUGUUUCUGUGAAAAAGUUAACUUGGUGUUGAAAACAAAAUGUAUUUUCAUUUUUCCCCUUUUCCCUAUAUUACUUAAAACAUAAUAAUUUAUUGUUAGAGGGCAUUCAGUGGACCAGUGACACUAUUUACUUUAAUUCAGGUAAAAUAGAAAUAUUAGCACAAUUUAUUUAUUGAAAUAUCAAAUUGAAAACAGACAAAAAGUCAGUGAAUUUGAGAUCUAUUACAUUUUCCAGUGUACUAAGAGUUAAACAUGUAUUCUGUUGUAAUAUUACUCUAAUACUUGAUACAUUAUCUAUUCCUCGUUCAAGUGAUUCAAUACAAAUUUUAUUUUGUAGCAUUAUGAAGAUCAGUAAUGUUUCAAACAGUGGAGUUUCAAACUUUAAAAAUGUGUGUGUGAUGUUUCCCUGAACCCAUAUGCAAAAUGUCUGAGAACAGAAUAGAACUAGCAUUCAGAUCUUGGUUCUGAAUACUCUUCUCCAGUAUAAGGAAUCAGCGCUCUUUGAAGAAAUGCCUGAUUCCACCUCUGGGGCAGGACAUGAGCAAGAUGAGCCUGGGGCAUCUUACAGUGCCUGAAAGGAAGUGCUCAAAAAAUAAAGGGAUGGGGACAUGGUUUGGAUCUGUGUCCCUACCCAAAUCUCAUGUUGAAUUGUAAUCCCCAGUGCUGGAGGUGAGGCCUGGUGAGAGGUGAUUAGCUCACGGGGGCGUUUUCUCAUGGCUUAUCACCAUCCCUCCCCCUGCUGCUGUCCUCGCGAUAGUGAGUUCUCCUGAGAUCUGCUUGUUUCAAAGUGUGUGGCAUCUCCCCACUCCCUCCGUCUCUUGCUUCUGCUCUGGCCAUGUUAAGUGCCUGCUUGUUCUUCACCUUCCACCACAAUUAAAGUUUCCUAAGAUCUCCCCAGAAGUUGGCAGAUGCCAGCAUCAUGCUUUCUGUACAGCCUGUGGAACUGUGAGCCAAGGAAAUGCCUUUUCUUUAUUAAUUACCCAGUCUCAGGUAGUUCUUUAGAGCAAUGCAAGAACAGAUUAAUACAGAGGGGAGCUUGUCAAAGGCUGUAGGGCCCAACUGGACAGAGCCCCCAGAGGCCAAAACCAGAAUAAUCUGGAUUAUGAACCAAAGCAUGAAACACAUUCGCAUGAGUCCAUGGAGAUAUGAAUACAUGAUUGCCAAAAUGAAUAACUAGGGGAGAAAAAGAUCCCCCAUAGGAAGAAUUCCAAAUAAUGUAUGAGCUGCUCUCUGUUCCAGGAGGUGGAGAUUUACUCCCUGCUGUGGCCUCCUGAGUGCUUGGAGACCUGUUUCCAAAGAGCACCACGUGAGCGGGGGGAAACCACAGCCUUGCCUCGAGCAGCACUGCCGCGGCCAGGCCACCAAGGCCGCAUCAUCAGUGACUCGGGACGCUGAUAGCGCAUCCUCUUGGCAUGGCAUGUUGAGAAGGGCACUUUACCUCUUUAGUCUCCCGAAAGCCCGUAACCCCAGUCUAAUAAGGAGAAAAACUAUCAGACAAACGCCAAAUUAGGGGCGUUCUACACAAUACCACCCACCUCCUCAACACUGCUAACGUCAUCAGACACAAGGAACAUUUGCAAAACUACCAUGAAACAGACUAGGCUAAGGAGAAAUGAAGACCAAAUGUAAUAAAGUCCCCUGGAUGGGAUCCUGCAAGAGAAAAAGGACAUUACGGGGGAAACUCAUGAAAUGCAAAUGAAGUUACAAGUGUAGUUCAUAGGAACUGCCAUUGUCGGACCCAUGGUUGUGAGCCGUUGCCCACAGAGACCUAGGAUGCAAUGAGGCAAGAGUGGAAACCAGGCAAGGGAUGAACAGAAAUUCUCUGGGCCGCCUCUGCAAUGUUGGGCAAAUCUAAAAUUGUUCUAAAAUUAAAAGUUUACUUACCCCAAAACAAAACAAAAAUCACAAUAGAUUUUAAAACAUUUUCAUACGAUUGCUUGGAUACAAUACUCAGCAGUCCAUCCAAGUUUGCAGCACAGUAAUACAAGCUCAGGAGUGGAAGCCAAAAUGAAAAAAAAAAGGAAGCAGAGCAUGUACAGUGGGGUUCCAUUUCCGUAAAGCUCAAAGCCAAGCAAAGCCAGUCAACCUCCCACUUAGGAAGAGGCCGGCGAACUAGCAAACACCUCUAGUUAUACAGCAAAGCCCAGAUAGCUUUGACCUAUGGCGGGGUGAUCAAAUAAGGGUGCAGAGGUAGUGUGAACAUGACGUAUAGCAUUCUAUGUCUAAAUUUGGAGUUUUAAACAUUGCUUUACUAUCAUCUUAUUCGUUAUUAUUAUUUACCCAUAUACAUGCACAUAUAUAUUUAGCUGGAAAUGUGAUUUACUAUGCAUAAGUUUUAUGUAUAUAUGCAUAUAUAUAUUCAGCUGGAUGUAUAUGUUUUAUCAUUGUUGUUUUGUUAGUUACUAUACAUUUAUUUAUUAAACUUUUAUAUUUGUAUGUAUAAAUACAUUUACACACAUAAAAUACAGAUAUAUUUUUGUAUAUUAUCUGUAUAGUUUUAUGAAUAUGCAGAUAGAUUUUUUGUAUUUCACAGAUUUCUAUUAUUUAUAUAUAAAUUUGUAAUGGUCAUGCAUUUAUAAAUAUACAAUACAAUUUAGCUUUAUUUUUGAUUGCACAUAUUGGGUUGGAUAUAGUCAAUACAAUGUUUUAAUGGAAACAAGGUGCCAAAAGCAAUAUCACUGGGCUGAACAGAAUUCAGACCAGACUGGCAGCAUCAAGUAAUAAGCAAAAAUGUAAAUCUAUUGUGCAAUUAUUAUACAACUUUUUUAUUUUUAAUUUUAUUACUUUUACUUAUUGAGUUGAAAGUUUUUUAAACAUCAUCAGACAUAUAUAUGAUUUGUUGGUACUGUCCACCAAUAUUUAGCUUGUCUUUUCAUUUCCUUAGGGGCAUCUUCUGAAAAGCAAACAUAUUUAAUUUAAAUGAAGUCCAUUUUUUUUUCACUCAUGGUUUAUUUGGUGUUAUGUCUUAAUCAUAUUGCUUCAAAAUCACAAUGCUUUUACUCUAUGGUGUAUUAGAGAAGGUUCAAAAUUUUAAUCCUUAGAUUUAGAUCUGUGAUCCAUUUAAGUUAAUUUUGUGCAUAGUCUGAAGUAAUGAUCUAGGAUUAAUUUUUCCACGUGUAUAAGCAACUUAGAACCAUUUGCUAAAACACUAUUAUUUCCCUAUUGAAUUGUCUUUCUAUGUGUGUAAAAAAUGACCUGAUCAUAAACAUAAGGGUUUAUUCUUGGACCGUGAAAUGUACUCCUUUGGUCUAUAUGUCUUAACUUUACGUAAAUACUAGACUCAGUGAUAUGGGUUGGCUCUGUGUCCCCACCCAAAUCUUAUCUCCACCUGAAACCCCUGUGUGUUGAGGGAGGGAGGUGAUUGAAUCAUGUGGGUGAUUUCCCCCAUGCUGUUCUUGUGAUACUGAAUGAGUCUCAAGAGAUCUGAUGGUUUUAUAAGUGUUUGGAAGUUGCUCCUUUAUUCUUCUCCUUCCUGCCACCUCGUGAAGAAGGUGCCUGCUUCCCCUUUGACUUCUGCCAUGCGCUGUAUCAUUUUUCAUUCCAAUGAAUUAUGUAUAUGAGUACCAACACUCCACAUCUUCCUACUCAUUCGUCUCAUUGUUUUCAAAUGUUAACCAUAUUAGUCCAUCUGUAGGAAAAUAUAGUUUGCAUUUUAUUUAUGAUGCACAUUUUAUUUAUGAUGUAUAGCUGCUUUCAUAGCUAUAAAAUCUGGCUGGUGGCUCAUGCUUAUAAUCCUAAUACUUUAGGAUACUGAGGUGGGAAGAUCACUUAAGCUCAGUAGAUUUAGACCAGCAUGGGCAACAUAGUGAGACCCCAUCUCUACAAAACAAACAAACACAUAAAUAUACAUAUAUAUAUUUGUACAUCUGUAUAAAAUGUAUAUAUGUGUAUAUACAACUGUGUAUAUGUAAAUAUAUAUACACAUGUGUAUAUAUAGAUAGAUAUAUACAUGUGUAUAUAUAGAUAGAUAUAUACACAUGUGUAUAUAUAGAUAGAUAUAUACACAUGUGUAUAUAUAGAUAGAUAUAUACAUGUGUAUAUAUAGAUAGAUAUAUACAUGUGUAUAUAUAAAUAGAUAUAUACAUGUGUGUAUAUAAAUAGAUAUAUACAUGUGUAUAUAUAAAUAGAUAUACACAGAGGGAGAGAGAGAGAAAGAAAGAGAGACAGAGAGGAAACCUAUAAAACCAGUAGAUUUAACUUCAUUUGUCGAACAUGCAGAAUGAGACGUGGCCUUCAGCUUAUAGAUUGUUAUGAGAAUAAAAAAACUGGCAUAGUUCAAGAGAUAAUGUCUCACAUAGAAAGGUAUUUAAUAAAUUUGAGUUUCUUUUUUUAUUUCAUAAAAUAAUUCUACGGUAUUUAUAGCAUGAUAUGAAUAACAGCAUACUGACUCCAGUGACAUUUAUCUUACAUCUUCUUAUGAAAUGAAAACCUUCACUUUCCUCAUAUAUCACCAAAAGUUAUUUUAGAAUUUUUCUGAGAUUCCUUCCAACUUUAAUAUUAUAACUCAUUGAACUUAUGAGUUUGAUGUUCUGCUAGAUUAACUUUUAUUUUCUUUAAGCAGCUAAGGAAUAUAAUUAUGAUUUCCAAAAAUAUUAUUAAAAGCUUGAAAUCAUUCCAGGAUAUGACUAUGUGUUAUGCUUUGGGGAAAAAUUGCUAAUAUUUUUCAGUACUCUUUAUGUGACAUGCACUAUGCUAAGCACAUGCAUUAGGUCAUUAAAUUUUUAAGGAAACCAGUGAUAAAUACUUGUGAUUAUCCCCUUAAGCUGACAAGAAAACUGAUAUUUACAAUAGUAUCUUGCCCAGUGUUGCUAAACUAGUACAGGGAGAGGAUAGGAUUUUUUUUUUUUUUUUGAGUCAGAGUCUCACUCUGUCACCCAGGCUGGAGUGCAGUGGCCCCAUCUCAGCUCACUGCAACCUCCGCCCCCCGGGCUCAAGCGAUUCUCAUGGCUCUCAGCCUCCCAAGUAGCUGGAUUUACAGGAACACGCCUCCAUGCCCAGAUAAUUUUUGUAUUUUUAGUAGAGACAGGGUUUCAACAUGUUGGCCAGAUUGGUCUUCAACUCCUAACGUCAGGUGAUCUGCCCGCCUCAGCCUCCCAAACGGCUGGGAUUAUAGGCAUGAGCCACCGAGCCUCGCCAGAAUGAUAGGAUUCUUAUUUGAGUAAAUUAAAACUAAUAGGAACAACAUGACUGAAAGAAUAUUAAGAAAUGUAAACUUAAAAAAGUUCUUAUUAUUCAUAAAUACUUUAUAGUAAUUUCAGAAUGGUUGAGUUCAUGGAAGUUUGUAAGGUUAAAACGACUAAGAGAAAUUCUUGUGGUAGCAUUUGGUAUCACAUGAAGAAAGUCUAGCCAAGAUGAUGUAUACAUGUGUAUAUAUGUAUAUAUAAUGUGUAUAUUCUACACAUCAUAAGAUGAUGUGUAGAAAUGUUAGUGAAAGGUAUUGAAGAACAGGCUCAAUUCUCUGCGGGGAAAAUUCUAAUAUUAAGAAACAUCGCCAGGUGCAGUGGCUCACACCUGUAAUCCCAGCACUUUGGGAGGCCAAGGUGGGCGGAUCACCUGAGGUAGGAGUUUGAGAUUAGCCUGACCAACAUGGAGAAACCCUGUCUCUACUAAAAAUCCAAAAUUAGCUGGGUGUGGUGGCACAUGCCUGUAAUCUCAGCUACUCGGGAAGCUGCGGCAGGAGAAUGGCUUGAACCCGGGAGGCGGAGGUUGAGGUGAGCUGAGAUCGCACCAUUGCACCCAAGCCUGGGCAACAAGAGUGAAACCCCGUCUCAAAAAAAAAAUAAAAAUAAAAAAAGAAGAAGAAGAAACAUCAAUAGCAAAAAUGAUAGGUAACACCUAGCACAUGGCAUGUAUUAAGCAGUGUUUUAAAUACUUACAUGUUAACUUAUUAUGUUUCUACAACAUUCUACGGAGGGGCUAUUCUCGUUAUCUCCAUUUUCAGAUGAGGACAUUAAGUUGUAAAAUCACACAGCUGCCUUGUGCAAGAGAAGCUCUUUACCCAAAGUGGCAUGUCCUCUGAUUCCUGACUUUUAACCCGUCUGCUAUGUGCGUAAUGCUGAAUCAUUUCUUCAAAAGUCUGCUUUUGAAGUUAAAAAAGGAUUUAAAAAUGUGUAGCAGUAUGACCAGUAUAGGCAUUGAAGUGAAGAUUUCUCAAAAUGAGACUAGGAAGCCGCACAGGAGUGAAUAGUAUGAGGUGAAAAUGCAUCUACUUUCACCGUGACCAUUUUGGGAUUUUGAUAGUAACGCUUCCCUGUGGAUAUAUCUUAUAAACAGUGACUAGAUGACAUGAGAUAAAGUGUUGGGCAAAUAGGUGGCACUCUGGCCUAGUAUCUCUUUUUGUGAUGUCUCUCCAUUUUGGGGGAAUGGACCCAUAUUUAAUAAAUUCCUACUAGAAUAAGGAAGUGCAAGAUUCUGAAGGAAAAACAAAAUAGUAAUGUGUCCAUGAAUUUGGGAGACUUCUGAACACAGAGGAGACAGAGAAUUGCUAUGUGAGGUGGGCAUGGACAAAGGAAACACUGACUUUUACAGAAGUAUAAGGCGAGAUAUGAUGAUUCCUAUAUUCACUGAUGGUAGUAACCCAUGCAUAUUUGUUUACUUUAAUGUAUAACUCAAAUAGCUGGAAGGCAAGGAGAAUCCAAGAGUUGGACAGACGGUACAUUGAUGAGCAUAUUAUGAGAGGAUGAUUUAGCAGCAGGGCAGCGUUGCCACCGACCUGCCAUCCCCAGCAUGGAAAACGUUCAUCAGAGUCCCACACACUCCACUGAUAGCCUUUUGAGAAAACUGAAGGGCCAGAGAGCCAACUUCCAUGUUCCAUGCCAUUGCUGCUAUUUCAGAUAAAAUUAUUUUUAGCACCUAACUGUCUUUCAGAACUACUGUCAUAAAACCACAGGUUUUGAGAAUUUAAAGAUCUCAUUGUCCACCCUUACAAGCUUAAUGCAUGACGCAUCUGAGACCUAGUGAAAUGAAAUAAUGAAAUAAGAUGCCUAAGGCUGCAGAGAUAUUCCACGAAGGAACCAAGAUAAGAACUGCAUUUUGUUCUGUUUGUGAAAUAGUUACCUGAGUCCAAAAACAACUCCUGUAAAUAAGAAUGAAUACAGAAACCUAUCAUGUCUGAAGGUGUACAAAACCACUGUGUGUGGUUCUAGAUUGUGAGUUACACCAGAAACAGGAGACAGUGAAUGAAAAGACAGGUGAUUAAGGAAAAAAGAUAAUUAUUUAAGUCCAAAGGUGAUACUAGAAUUGCUGUUUUUAAGCAGACAAUAAAUUUUGCUGAUACAUAGUCGAUGAAUUUUUUAAUCUAGUUAUUAGGAUUGCUAAUCCAACUUUUAAAUAAUUUCAAAGCAGAAGAAUUUACAGACAUGGUGGAUUAACACAGUGUAGCUAGUGUUUAUAUACAAAACCUGCAGGUGGGUUAUGAGGGAAUCGCUGUUGCUACGGAAAACGCUGAAAUUAACCACUAACAUAAGUAGAAGUAGACUCGACUUUAAAAAAUGAAGGCUCAAAGUAACAUGACUAGAGACGAAGUUGUCAUUGUUUUUCCUUGAAAUUUCUCCUGGGCAAACAUCAAAGGGCAGAACAAGGCUGAAGUGCAACAACUCAAGAGAAAAUUUUCUUCCAUAACAGGCUCAGGCAGGUGCCCAGACCUGGUUUAUAAAUGCCCAACGUUGGCCGGGCGCGGUGGCUCACGUCUGUAAUCCCAGCACUUUGGGAGGCCGAGACGGGUGGAUUACCUGAGGUCAGGAGUUUGAGACCAGCCUGGCCAACAUGGUGAAACCCCAUCUCUACUAAAAACACAAAAAUUAGCCAGGCAUGGUGGCAUGCAUAUGUAAUCUCAGCUACUCAGUAGGCUGAGGCAGGAGAAUCGCUUGAACCUAGGAGGCGGAGGUUGUGGUGAGCCGAGAUGGUGCCACUGCACUCCAGCCUGCGAGACACAGUCAGACUCCGUCUCAAACAAAACAAAACAAAACAAAACAAUGUUUAGGAACUUAUGGAAUAUUUGGUGUUUGGGGAUUAAUGAGGUGAAUUCGAAGUAAAUAAAACUGAAGAUACACUACAAUUUUUAGGUAUCUGUUUCAGCUCUGUGAUUUCAAACCUACAAGGCAAAAAUAAUGAAAAUCAAAUGUUGGUUAUAUCUUAGCAUUGCAUUUUAUCUGAAAAGCAUACAUACUGAAAAGUUUUAUCACAAAGAAAAGAUUUCAACGUUAUUCUGCCAAAGACUAAUGCAUUUCGUGGACCAGUUGCUGUUUUCCACUUGGAAUCCACGCACCUGACAAAUACUCAAUGGCUUCGUCCUCUCGCCUAAGGCUUCGAAUCUCUGAAGCAUAUGUCCAGAUAAUUCAUAUUGAAUACGACCCUUUGAAUGUGGAGAAAAAGAACUGAUGACAACCUCAAAAACAUCAUAACCCUGAAAAUUGUAAAUAAAACAUGAAAUAUGUGAAGGAGGCAUGGUAAAAAUAUAUAGAAACCAAAAGCACAAUUACAUAUAUGCAUUUCAAAACACACUCAUUAGAAUAGUCCACAGGUUGUCUGUCCUCACAAGCGUCUCAGUGUUCAUUAACAUCUGCCCAUGGACUACAGCUUAUCUCUGAAACAGUCAGAAGUCUAAAGGGAAUCGGCAAUAAUAGGACUGCUUUAGCAUUUUUUAAAUAUAAAGCACAAUGAAGUCAAUUGUUGAACGGUGUCUAUCCUUACUUCUCUGGGUGUGUGACUAUAUUUUACCUGGAUGUUGGCUCCAUAAUCCACAGAUAUUUUAUUUUUCUCUCCAUUGCUGUAUUCCCAGCAAAGAAAAAAUAGUAGUUACUAAAAAAAAUUUAUUGAAUGAAUGAAUGAAUGAAUGAUUCGACUGUACCUGGUGGGCAUGUGUGUGUUCUUUUAUUUGGUAAAAUAAGAAUUUUUGGGAGGCUGAGACAGGAAAAUUGCUUGAAACUGGGAGGCAGAGGUUGCCGUGAGCUGAGAUCAUGCCACCGCGCUCCAGCCUGGGCAACAGAGUGAGACUUUAUCUCAAAAAAAAAAAAAAAAAAAAAGAAAAAAAAAUUAUCACCUUUGAAUCAGUAUCCUUUUUUACAAAAACACUUACUCUACUGUGAAUCACACAAAAGGCUGGUAGUCACUGAUUUACUACAUAAAUGCAUGUUGGGUAAUACAGUGACUAUCAGACCUUCAGCUAAUUCAGGCAUGAAGUCCCAACUGUCCCUGGGAAAACAGAACUAAAAAUGGAGGCAUCACUCCUAAGUGAGCAGUGAAGCUUAAGCAAAGACAAGAAGGAUACAUAACUGUGUAUGAGAGUUGGCUAAUGGCAUCAGAAGACUGAGAUAACACUGAAGCAGACUUUGUACCCAGAUGUCUAAUCAGCUGGGUGGGUGACAUUGAUGGGCAUUCCAAAGGUCCAGUCUCAGAAUCAGGGAUGUAGCAGACACAGGCUCCCACAGGAGGCAUUUGGCCCUGGAAUGACAGACUCAACACAAUAGAAAGGAGACAGAGCUCUGAACCUGGAAGGGAGGCUACAGUUCCAUGCAGGCAGGUCAUUAGAGCUAAAAAAUGAAAAAAAAUUCCUAUCUACCACUAGCACACACUUGUUAGAAGCUACAUAGGCAUCAAAAUCUCAUUUAAGGAUGAGAGAUUGUUAAUGCGGUUAUCUCAAAAGUAAUUCACAAAAUACAAAGGAACCCAACAAUUUUAUAGGCACAAAAGUGUGUGGGUCACAAGAAUAUCUUGUUCAAAAUGUCACCAGAUGAAAUGAUGCAGAUUUGUUUCUUUUAAUAGUUUUAACUAGGGAAUAACACAGUAAAAUAUAUGAAGCGUACUUCUGUAAAUCGUGCAGCUUGGAUAAAUUUGAGCACACAUACACAGCUGUGAAAACACCACAUGAAUCAAAAUACAGAACAUGUCCAGCACUCUCAAGCUCCCUCUUGAUUUCGUUUCUUCCAGUCACUGACUCUAGUCUCCAUAGGAGUUAACCACUAUUUCGACCUCUAACUCUCAGCAGAUGGAUUUUGCCUGCUCCUGACCUCAUACAAAUGGCUUUAUACAAUUGUUGCUCAUUCAUGGAUGGCUUCUUUUGAUCAGCAUGAUGUCUUAGAAUUGUGUCCAUCCAUGGUUUAAUCUUUCUUAUUUAUAAUGUUCCAUUGUUUAUGAAUAAACCACUUUAUUUUUAUUCUCCUUUUGAUGGGGAAAUUUUAUUUCAUUGUUUUUUUCCUUUGCUACGGCAUUAGGGAUUGAAGCCUCUGUGAGCCUUCUUAUACGUGUCCUUUGCAGACUUUUACAGUUCUUUCUGCUGCAUGCACACAGGAAGAGAGUCUCUGGAACAUUGGAUAAACCCACUUUCAACGUAAUGCCUACCGCCUAAAGGGCUCGGGCACACCAGCUUCUGCCCUUAUCUGCAAACUAUCAGAGCUGCAGAUCCUCCACACUUUUCAAUUCUUUGUAUCGACAACUUUGCUUUGGUUGGAUAGCUUGUUCCAAGUGUAGCCGUUCUCACGGAUCUGUAAAGAUAAUGCAUUCUGACAUUAAAGUGCACGUCCUUUGUAAGUAACGCUGUUGAGCUCCUUUCAAUGCUUGCUGGACACUUGGAUAUUAUAUUCUUCUUUGAAUUAUCUGGUCUGAUGUUUUGUCCAUUUUUUAUAUUUUUCAAAUCUUUUUCUUAUUGAUUGGUAGAAAUUAUUUAAAUAUUCAGAAUACAAGACUUCUGUCAGAAACGUUUGACGAAAGUCUUGCUUCUGUAAGGGAUGCCUCCGAAUGCUAGGCAAUCCUUAGCUGGUAGCUGGGGGUCUGUGUUAACGAGGCCAAGCCACAUCAAUAAAUUGCUCUAGGUUCAAAAUUUCUUGGAAACAAUGACUUGGAUUCUAACUUAGUUGCCUCCUCUUCUUUUUUACUUCUGACCCAAGAAACAAAUAGUAUGAAGUGUGCAUGCCCUGCCCUAAGGGACGAGGCGGAUCUCCUCUUCAUGUCCCUCAGCUCUCUCAGGUCGUGCCCGAUGCUGGAAAAUCCUGGCCACCAUACGAAGGGAAGCAGAAGCCUGGUCAGGGGUCCCGUGUCAUAACCACUGGGAUCGGGGACACCAGUGCUCAUCCUGUUACAGUGUAACUCAUUUUCUUUUACACCAUAGUCACAUAUUUUUGUGUCCCUUUCCUUCAUGUGAUAGCUUUGUUAUGCCACAUAAAAUACAACUUCUGGGCUGGGUUUGGUGGCUCAUGCCUGUAAUCCCAGCACUUUGGGAGGCCGAGGUGGGGGGAAUCACGAGGUCAGGAGUUCGAGACCAGCCUGACCAACAUGGUGAAACCCCGUCUCUACUAAAAAUACAAAAAUUAGCCAGGUGUGGUGAUGAGUGCCUGUAGUCCCAGCUACUCAGGAGGCUGAAGCAGAAGAAUCACUUGAACCCAGGAGGCGGACGUUGCAGUGAGCCGACAUCAUGCCACUGCACUCCAGCCUGGAAGACAGAGUGAGACUCUGUCUAAAAAAAAAAGAAAGAAAGAAAAUACAACUUCUGGGAGCUGAGGAAAUACAAGGUGGAGGAGGAAUGAGUCCUGGAGCGACACAGCCUUGCAAACCGUCUCUGAUUGACAUUCCGUAACUUUAUCCUUUAUAUGACGUCAAGAGUAAUGCUGAGAAUAGAGUGCAAUCCUCAACACAGUAGGCAGGGGCAGGGUCAAUUAUGCAUUUAUUUUUCACAUUUGCAAAGAUAAUAUUUGUAUUAUAUAAUUAAUAUUUACCAGAGUAAUAAUUAUUAUACUUUCAGGAGAAAUAAAAACAGGAUAACGAUUUUCAUACACUGAUGACAUUUCAGGACCAAAGCACUUUAGUCAAAUUUGUUAGAGGGUCUUUGUAUCUGAAUCAUAAAUUCCAUCACCAAAGGUAAUCGUGGUCAUAAAGGAGGGUCCCGCGUUCGAGCAAAACCGAUGAAGUUUCUAUUGAUUUGAGAUUAUGCCUUACACUAAAAACCAAUAGUAAUUACAUCAAAUGAGCUAAAUUAAUGAAGUUAAUAUUUGCUGUUGGGAGAUUGUUAGAACUCGACCAACCUAGCGAACAUUCUAGCAUUACUAACCACUGCCUGGCAUAAGUAAUUUCUAAAAUUUCAAAGCCCACGUUAGUUAGUGAGGUGCAAUUCUCAACGGCAUUUUGACAUUUUGGUUGUGUUCCAGAAACAUGUGCAUACAUCGUGAGUGUGUGACUGAACAAAAACUAUGGCUCUCCUCUUCAUGUUAUUUUCACAGUUGGUGUAGGUCACAGUAGAUGAAAGUGACGGGAAGUCCAUUUCUAUGAUUUUCUUCUCCAGGCUACGGCAGGCUUUAUGGUGCUGUCUUUCUAGAGCCAUAGCUCAUAUAUUCUCUUUGGCCUGGGAGGGUUUCAUUCAGAUGAACAUGUGGUAGGAUGUUGGCCUUGUGGGACGAAGCCCCCAAAAUCAAUAGAUGAGGUACCUGGAUCUGGCCCUGCCAUGUUCUACCAUUGUGAUUUUGAGAGCCUGUCAACCUCUCCCAGACCCAUUUUCCUCAUUUGUAAAAUGAAAUGAAUAGAUUUUGGUGGUUUUGAGACUUUUGGACUAUGGAAGGCUUUCUUCAGAAAAGAAAAAGAAAUAACACAUUUCCCAAAGCCCAACAUAUACACCAAAUCCCAGUGUGCCUGCCACUCCCCUUGGCUGGAUGCUGGAGGCCUGUUCUCCACGUCUCUCUCCCCUUCACUCUGUAGUUGCUCUUGGGACACAGUUGUAAAACCCACACAAGGUUUCUUGGAAAGACCUGAACUAAACAGUUUCUAAGAUUUCUUCUUUGGCCAGGCACAGUGGCUCACGCCUCUAAUCCCAGCAUUUUAUAAGGCUGAGACGGGAAGAUCACGUGAGGUCAGGAGUUCAAUACAGCCUGGCCAAUGUGGUGAAACCCUGUCUCUACUAAAAAUAUAAAAAUUAGCUACGCAUGGUGGUACAUGCCUGUAAUCCCAGAUUACUCAGAACACUGAGGCAGGAGAAUAGCUUGAUCCCGGAGGUGGAGGUUGCAGUGAGCCGAGAUUGUGCCACUGCACUCCAGCCUGGGCAACAGAGUGAGACUCCCUCUCUAAAAAAAAAAAAAAAAGACUUCUUCUUCCUCUGACUUUCUUGAUGGACACUUUUCUCACAUGGGAUCCACUAAUGUCACCACCAGGGGAUGGCAGGAAAGGUGGGACAGAAGACCCAAGGGCCAAGGCAGAAGCAAGCAGAAGAGAGUUUCACCCUCAGGAUCGCAGUCAGGAAUCACACCACGCAACAUCGCACCCAGCCAGGGAGAUGCUGGCUGAGUAAAGGCACAUUUAAAGUCCACAGACUCCACACUCAGGGGCCAGGCCAUACGCGCCAGGAGCUCAUGGUGCUUGGAGAGCCUGAGAGCCAUGCACCAUGGGAAGCAUGGAAAGGAUGGAGAGGACAGUGAUGGGGCAGCCGCUCAGGGUUCCACGGGCCUUCCAUUUAUUGUUCUUUGCCAUCCUCACAAUGGGCUUCCUCCUCCUGGUCCAAGAUGCCCUUUGAACAUCCUCUUUGCAGCUGUCAGUUAGAAAUAAGGGACAAAGGGUCCAUUCCUGCUUCUUGCGACACAGUGGAAACCAUUUUCAUGCACAUACAGACUGUUCAGAAAGUGGCCCUGCAGCUCCUCUCCACUGCAACUGACUUUGGCAAAAGAAUCCUAGUUCACACAGUCAUGUGCUCAGCCACAGACCGUGGCUCUGAUCCAGGAGAGAGAGGAGAAUAAAUGACUAGCACUAACCGUGAUCUCUGAGAAGAAUCUGAUUUUCCUUAAGGGCAGUUGGAAUAACACUCACCUGAUCACGGACCUAGUUUGAGCCUGGACAGGGUGUCCUAGUCCUCUCUGUGCUCACUUUUUAUCCUAUCACCUGUUUAUAAGGAACGAAAGAACAUGCCAUGCCCAGUCCUGGCAUCUGGGAUUUUGGGACUCUAGGAUGUAAGCUUUGGAGGGCUUUUGGUUACUCACUCAUUAUCAUUUUGUAUAUUAAUGAAAUUGUGGCUUCAUUUUAUCAUCAGAAACCUGACUCUGUUAUUACAUAAGAUACUCUCUUUUACCUGUGUUGGGCUAGGCAGUCUGAUAUUCAGAGCAAUUCAACCAAUAAGAUCUUUGAUAACUCAGUUUCCCUAUUUUUUCAAUGAUGAGAACAAUCACAGCCUAAUACCAGACAGGUGUGCUGAGGCUGGAACUAGAAUGGGAAUUGUCCCAGAAGAAGGCUCUCACAAGAAUCCAAGAAAGGAUGAAAGGAGAAGGAGUUGGAGGAGGAGGGGAAGAAGAGGAGAGAAUGUUUCAAAUCAAUCAAAGUCAUCUGUGUGUAACCAUUGCAAGAAUUCAAUCGCACUGAGAAAAAAUUAUUAACACAGAAAACUAUCUUUUCUUGGACUGAUUUCCAGUUGAUAACUCUGGGCCAGCAUCUUUCAUGGAACACUUUUCCUCUUCAGAAACCACCAUAAAUGUGGCUAAGGGCAUUUGUAUAGACACCUUCUUAAUAUUAAAAACGUGGGAGGAAGAGACGAGUUACGAUUAUUGCAAAGAAACCAAUCCAUCUGGAUUUAAUGUAACAGUUGUAAGCUUUCAGUCUGCACCUAUGAUUUUAAGUAGAAAAGAGAAAAUUGGAAAGCAAACUGGAAAACCACCAAAAUUUAGUAUAAAUUUAAAAUCAGAGCAGUAAAUUUUCAAAGGCUGUGUGAACAGUUCACCCUUCUGGUUGUCUUUUCUUCAUGUCUUUAAGCCAGCACAUUACUUCAGUUAGUUCUAGCAUCCGUUUAGUGCCAAGCUUGCAAAGGGAAGGAGGAAUUAAUUUUAUUCAGAAAAUGGUGCCUGUGAUUAACUGAAUGGUUUAGGAACUAACCAAUUUUACAAAUACACACUGCAGCUUUGUAUGUAUGUGUGUAUACAAAUUUAAGCUUUAAUCCAUUUUAUGUGAAAUUUUAAACAUGGCUUUGAAAUAUAAUUUUAUUCCAGUGUUUAAAUACAACAAAUUCGACAAAUGUGCAUGGAGCCUGGCCAGAAGACAGAGACGCAGCAGUGAGUCGGGCAGGUGCAGCCUGGCCAUGAUGAAUCACAUUCUAUGGGGCAGGGAGCAGAUAAUUAAACAAAUAGUUACACACCAGUUGUUCAGUUACUAUGUAACCCUUGUGAACACAUUCCAAGCCACGUGUGUUAUAUGUGUCACGUCUAGGCCUCAUGAUGCAGGAGGCUGUGCUAUCCACCACUACCCCUGCUUUACCGAUAAAGUAGGAGACACUGAAGGCACAUGCCCCGGUACUGUCAGAGGCAAGAUUGUUACUGAGCAGGGAGGGACUCCCUCCCAGCCUUUUCCAAUUUUACUGGAAAUUUGUCUUCAGAUUUUUUUUUCUAUUCCCAGACCAAUAUAUAUUUUACAAUUACAUAAAUAAUAUCAAACAUAUUUUUUCUAAGCAAUUUUUGUGGUAGUAUAGAGUAUGGAACCAAUUUUGCUAAAUGCACAAGCGUUUUGAAAACAAACUCUUGCUGAAUGGGGUCUGGUUAGAAAACAGACUUCCAAUACUUGUUUGAUUCAAGAUUCCAGCACUCUGUGUGUGUGUGUGUGUGUUUGUGUGUGUGCGCACCGCAGUACUCAACUGUCUGCAUAAAAAAAGAUCUAUGUGUUUAUCAUUGUAUUCUGCUGAACAAAAAAAAAUGGAUAAAAAUGCAUUAGUGGAAAUCAAUACCUUGUUGAGAAGCUUCAAGCACAUGUCUCUGCCUCUUGACUGCAGGGGGCUGCACCCUCUUCCUGCCAACCAUUUAUAAUCACAUACGGAUGCCAAAAUUAGCAGCAGAGAAAGCAAUUACUUUAAAGGCUUUGAGAUUGGAAGUUAAAAAAAGAUAUAUAUUGUAAAUCAUUUUAAUCCAACAGCAAGAAAAUAGCAAGUUAAAGUUCAUAAAUAGGAGGUAGGCUAAUGAGACAAUAUUUUAAACAUUAACAGUGCCUUUGAUCUAUAGUGUGUUCAGUAGGAAUUUGCUUUAGAGGACUGUAUUAGACUGUUCUCAGGCUGCUAAUAAAGACAUACCCGAGACUGGGUAAUUUAUAAAGGAAAGAGGUUUAAUGGACUCACAGUUCCACAUGGCUGGGAGGCCUCACAAUCAUGGUGAAAGGUGAAUGAACAGCAAACGCGUGGUGGCAGAGAAGAGAGCUUGUGCAGGGGAACUGCCCUUUAUAAAACCAUCGGAUCUUGUGAGACUUACUCACUACCACAAAAACAGCACAAGAAAGACUCACCCCUAUGAUUCAUUUCCUCCCACCAGGUCCCUCCCACAGCACAUGGGAAUUAUGGGAGCUAUUAUUCAAGAUGAGAUUUGGGUGGGGACACAGCUGAACCAUAUCAAGGAAACAAAUGGAAUCUUCAAUAUUGACAAACUCCAAAUGGAGUUGAGGACUUGAGUAGGAACAGGUUGGGUUAAGUGGACCAAGAAGAAAGUCAUGAUAGGUUGUUGAUACUGAUGGUGAGGGCAGGAUAUCUGCAGUCUAUGUGGACAAGUGUUUUUUGCCAGCUUAAACCCAAAGGAGGGAGGAAAUUAGCAUGGUUUGAACACCUACCUGGCCAGCGGCUCUUUUCUGUAAUCUCUGAUAACUGAUCUCCAUGUAAAUGAGGUUCAAUAUGAGAUCUUUCUACUCGGUAGGUUUCCGUGUAAUUUACAAUAUACGUGACUAUUCAUACAUGAGUCAGCCCAACACAACAGAUUCAAUAUUAAUUGCAGAAUGAAAUCUUGGAUUGUGUUAUGAAUAGACAUAAUGGAGAUCACUGGGACAUACAGUUAAUGUAAAAGGGAUGUAGAUGAUAAGGAUGAUUUUUUUUUUUUUGAAACAGAGUAUAGCUCUUGUAGCCCAGGCUGGAGUGCAGUGGCGCGAUCUCGGCAGCUCACUACAACCUGUGCCUCCCAGGUUCCAGUGAUUCUCCUGCCUCAGCCUCUUGAGUAGCUAGGAUUACAGGUGCCCGCCACCAAGCCCGGCUAAUUUUUGUACUUUUAGUAGAGACGGAGUUUCACCAUUUUGGCCAGGCUCGUCUCAAACUCCUGACCUCAGGUGAUCCGCCCGCCUUGGCCUCCCAAAGUGCUGGGAUUACAGGCGUGAGCCACUGCACCCGGCUGAUAAGGAUGAUUUUACCCCCACAGAUUAGAAAGAAAAAUCAUCAGCUGAAAGAGUGAACAGCUUCUCUGUAGGUAAAUCAAGAUGAGUGUUGAGUAUAUGCAAGUGGGUAGAUUUGUGUGUGUGUCUAUAUGUUUGUGAAUAUGUGUGUUAGUGUGUUUUUGAGGAGGGGGCAGAUAUAAGAGAGGGAAGACAAGAAAAUUAAUGAAUCAUAGCCCCUCCCGUAUAAAAGACAAUCUCAAUACUUAGUAUCUAAGCUCACAAAGGCUCUUGGUAGAAACUCGUUCCAGACUCCUGCUGAAAGCCAGCUCUAGCUAGUUGAAUACCUAAAUGUAAAUAACAAAGGCAGUAAAAAUAUCAAAGCAUGCCCAAAUGCUGGAAAUAAAAAGUAUUUAAAGAAAGGAAACGUAAGACAUUGAACGGUAAGACUUUAAAACCACCAAGGAAAGAAAUGAGAUGCAGCAGAUUUAUGGAAUAAUCUUUAUUUAAAACAUUGCAUUAUGUUGGAAAACAGGAAAAAUUGGCUGUCUUUUUUUAAAGCAAGAGGAGUUCGUGUGCAUAUCUAUUUAUCGUUUUUUUCCAACAUCCAGCAUAUUUCUUAUGCUUAUUCCAAAAAUAUAUUGUAUCUACUUAUGGUAGCUCUUAACAAACUGCUGAGUUUCAGUGAGAAGAAACCUUGUUUGCAGUGGACUGUGGCAUACAGAAUUUUUUCUCACAUUUUUUUUCUGUUUACUGUUGUUGUUUUUUAUUUUUAUUUUACUUUAUUUUAUUUUUGAGACGGAGUCUUGCUGUCACCCAGGCUGGAAUGCAGUGGCUCAAUCUCAGCUCACUGCAACCUCCGCCUCCCAGCUUCAAGUGAUUCUCCUGCCUCAGCUUCCCAGGUAGCUGGGAUUACAGGUACAUACCACCAUGGCUGGAUAAUUUUUGUAUAGUAGAGAUGGGGGUUUCACCAUAUUGUCAAGCCUGGUCUCAAAAUUCUGACCUGAGGUGAUCUGCCUGCCUAGGCCUCCCAGAGUGCUGGGAUUACAGGUGUGAGUCACCAUGCCCAGCCACUUUUCUGUUUUUUGAAUUAGAUCCCUACGGAAGAGACAAAGGGAAUAGCAUGGGCUAGGUCUGGCCAAUCAUAAUAACGUACCUCAUGGUUACAUCAUGGCUCUGACAUUGGGCACGUACUCCAGGCAGGGCCAUAUAUCUGAAAUUAAUAUAUAGACACUGGGGAAAAGAAAACUAUUUCCUCCGAGAUCCUGACCCAGGAUGACAUGGAUCUAGAUCCAUCUCUCUUUGGCUACAAGGUGAAAAUUGAUGUGAUUCCAGAGAGAGUAAGUUCAACACACACAAAUUAAGAGAAUCCAGAAAUGAAGAGAAAGAAAGAAGAGAAACACAGAGAGAGAGAGGAAGAUGGGCACUGAGAUUAUCAUGCAAUGUCCUUGACCAAACAAAGUCUGCAUCGUGAAGCCAAUAAGUUCCAUUUUUGUUUUAGCUUGUUUCAAGCAUAUUUCUGUUGUUUACUGUCCCACAAGUUACUGGGAUAUAAUUCUCCAUGGGUUUCUUGUAGUCUGCACCUGUGAGGUACGGAUAGCUCAUAAUUCUGGGUUAUCUUUUCAAUCAUGUUCGUGUCAUAAACGUGCUUAGAAGACAGAGAGAGUAUCUUCCUUCAGAUACACUUAAUGUCCAGUAUAAUAAAGAUAGUGUCUUGCUCAGGAGCAAAAGGCAGGCAUGCUCACUGCCCGUUAUAAAUGAUUCGAGUUUUCUAAGUUCAGGAUUUCUCUCCUGCAAUGCAAACUUCUGUGGGUACAGGUGUGAUCUGGUUCAUUUUCUGUCUCUCUGCAGGAAUUGGGGCUCAGGGAAACCACACUAAACCGUGGAUACUCCACUAAGUUUAAUUGCUCUGAAUAACACAGUGUUCUUGUCUCUGACCAAGAGUUUCGUGUCUCCUCCCAGCACCCAUGAAACUAUGACAAGAUAACUUGUCUUGUGAGCUUGCAGUUCUUGACACUAAUAUGUUCCUCUAGGUAGAAAGUAGAAUCUUAGAGUGGAGAGAAAAGAACCCCACACAAUUUGGAAACGUGAAAUCAAUGUGUAUAUAGCUGUAAAUUUAGGGAAAAAAUAUUUUUUUCAAUAUAAAUAAACUUUUUAUUGUCUGCUAGAUAAAGAUAAAGUAAAAAUCUUGGCACAUAGUUUCAGGGAAAAUAUAUAAUGACUCAAUAUUUAGGCCAUGGUACAUAUAAUUUAAAGAGACUGUGUCAUUAUAUAGGGUAAAACACAUUUUUUUUUAAAGUUUACCUAAAGAAGGUGAGUUUUAAAAUAUUUGAGAUAUAGACAGUUGAGUUUUCCAGAAAGGAAAUUUGGAAAUGAUAGAUCAGUUAGUAAUUAGAAUGUCAUGUUCCUUGAGCAACUUUAAUAGAUAAAUUUGGUUAAAAUGUCUUUGAUUCAUCCAACUUAUAUUACAAAUUCCAAUCAUGUAUGGAACAAACAUUAAUUACACUGAACCAGUGUAUCCAGGACUUCUUUAGACAAAAAGCAGACUGGUGAAAAGCCAGACAAUAUUCCUACCCUAUAUGUGCUGGUAAAUGUUUAACAACUGGCUCUCUCAGAGAAAAUGUAUGGCUAAAUAACAUUUCCAUUGAUUUUUUUCCAAAAUUGUGCAUCUGUAGUCAACCUGGGGUUGCAGUUGGCAAAGGCAUAUAGGAUUGUAAUUUCUAUGCAAUGCUGACUGAUACUGUCAGGUAUGUUAAAGAAUAAAAUAGAACUGUGGCUGGGCACGGUGGCUCAUGCCUAUAAUCCCAGCACUUUGGGAGGCCGAGGUGGGCAGAUGACUUGAGGUCAGGAGUUUGACACCAGCCUGGCCAACAUGGUGAAACCCCAUCACUAACUAAAAAUACAAAAAAAUUAGCAAGGUGUGGUGGCGUGUGCCUGUAGUCCCAGGUACUCAGGAGGCUGAGGUGGAAGGAUCACUUGGACCCAAGAGGCGGAGGUUGCAGUGAGCCGAGAUUGUGUGACUGCAUUCCAGCCUGGGCAACAGAGUGAGACUCCAUCGAAAGAAAGACAGACGAAAGAAAGAGAAAGAGAGAAAAAGAGAAAGAAAGAAAAAAGGAAGGAAGGAAGGAGAGGGAGAGAAAGAAAGAAAGAGAGAAAGAAAGAGGGAAAUAAAGAAACAAAGAAAGAAAAAGGAAGGAAGAAAGGAAAGAGAAAGAAAGAGAGAAAAGAAAGAAAGAGAAAGAAACAGGGAGGGAGGGAGGGAGGGAGGGAGGAAGGAAGGAAAGAAGGAGGGAAGGGAAGGGAAGGAAUGAUGACUUACAAUACAACUUUGUCAAUGACAUAACCCGUCUUCAUUCUACAGGAUGUCGUGGCUGGUUUUGAGUAGAUUAAGGGGUACUCAGAUCGUUCAUUCUGCAGGAUGUGGUGGCUGGUUUUGAUGGGAUUAAGGGGUA